AUGGCAGAUCCAGUAGCGGAUCCAGCUGCUCUGCCAAUCGUGCCUUGUCCGGAUUGCGGCAGGAACGUGGUGACCUACGUUGCUAGGCGCGGGAAGAACGCCGGUCAGCGUUUGUACAAGUGCCGGAAUCACAACUCAGAGAUGCCACAGCCGGAGCUUCAGUUCAAAGAAAGGUCGCUGGAUCUGGAUCUCGUGAAGCAGAUGGACGAAGAGUUUGAGGACCAAGAUUUUUCUGAUGGAGCGGUGGGUGAGGGAGAGCCUGCACUUGAUCGGACUGAAGAACAUCAGCCAGUUAUUACUUCUCGGUUGUCAGUUAAGCGUGUUGUAGAGAUGGUCGCAAAGUUUGACGAAUACAAGAGAUGGUUUGUAACCGAAAUUGGUUUUGGUGCAAUCCUGAAGAUCCCAAUGCUUGUCAAGUUGGAUCUGAGGAUGAGUGCUUGGGUUAUGAGGAAGGUGCGGCCUGCGGAGCUAGUUAUGUACACGCGGCCAGACAUGACGCGCCAAGGACGCAUUGACUCCCAUGCAUCAUCAGGUUCAGUGAAACAAUCAGUUCCAAGGGUGCCUGAUAGAGUGGACCAACGGACUCUGGAUUUGGGUGUGCAUGCAACGACGGCACCAGCUGACUCUUUGGGUGAUGUGAGGUCGGCAUACCAUUCAAUUGGGCCAAGGGAUUUUGCAAAUCAUUUGCGCCGGACUUGCUAUGGCGAUCCGGUCCUUGAAGAGCUGAGCCUGAUGCUGAAGCAGCAGAAUGCAAAGUGCAUGCUGAGCAUGUCGUUGCUGCGGAGUAGGAUGCAGUCUGACAUGCUUAGCUUUGCUGAUAGAAUUGUAUUACUUGUGCGGGAUCAUUAUGCUCAGGCCAUGCAUUCAAGGGUGAUCCCGAUGGUUGCUCGGCGGCUCGAAAUGUCGGAUGAUGAAGGUGGUAGUUCAACCAAGGCCCGUUUUGAACGUAAUUCAGUGAAGAAGCCUCGGGUUGAUUCUUGUGAUGUGCGAGAUCUGAAGUUGGGGUCAUCACAGCAGCCAAAUGACGCCCCUGUGUAUGAUAACCCAGUUGCUGAGGAACGACAAAUGGAAGAGAAGAAUGUAGUAUUAGACAGGAUUAUUCUAUAUGCUCGAGUAAUUACGGACACGGUUAACUGUCUGUAUGACAUUGGAGAGGGCGAGCCCAAUGUUGUUUAUUUUGGGACCAUGGUAGCUACGUUGCCGAAGAGGAAGUAUGCUACCUCUGCAAGCUUUGCACGCAACCCAUGGGUGAGUGGGUGUCUAGCUCAGCCCCCACCAAUCCCCUUGGUGGAUAAGUUCUAUAACUGGGUAUCUGGAAACAACGAUUUUGACCUUGACAGCAUGUGGAUUGAGCAUAAAACUCCGCGGAUGCUUCGGGUAAAUGUUGUGUGUGUUCAGCAACAAUUAAUUGGGGGACAUCCUCUUGACCAUGAGGUAGCUGUGCUUGCAAUCAGGAGGUUUAAUCAGCUUGAUGUUGGUGCACACGCUGUGAACCAGUAUAUGUUAUGGAGGGAAGUACUUGAACCAGAUUUCUCGGCUCUUCAUGAUGUCACGGCAUGUCAGAAGUUCUUUGUGCCAGCCAUUCUUGACCAUGGUUGGGAAGCAUACAUGUGGGAUAUGAUUAGGAAGGAGAUUCACAUACUGGAUCCUUUGUUUGCUCAAAUAGUGGGAGCAGAGCAGCGACAUACAACCCAUCACGAGGUGGUGUCACAGAUUCACAAUGUGCUAUUUAGUUGCCUUAACGAGUUCUUUGCAAAAUGGCACUGCACACCUGACAGAUGGAACCGGAAGUUCCCAAACAUAACCCGGGAAGUUUUUACAAGGGAUGAGUCUGGUAUCUGCAUGCUGCAUGCGAUCAGGCAGUACGACGGUGAAAAGAUGAUGUGGCCUCUGACGAAGAAAAAUUUGGCCACUUUCCGAAAGACAACUAUUUUUGAGCUUUUCCGUCUGCAAGAUGAGCAGGGGAAUAUUGUGGGUGAUGAUGUCUUGCGUGCUGCUCUGGAAGGAGGCGAGGGAUGA
rnacentral:rRNA from 1 species